rnacentral:lncRNA from 1 species
GCCACUUCUCUUGUUCUCAGGGCCGAACCAACCAACCAACCAGCCUCCAUCUUGCCUGAUCCAAACCCAAUCCCCAUCGAUCCAAAAAAAUCCUCUCGGCCUCCAUCCAGCGCCUCAUCCCCCCCUCUCGUGCGUUGAUCGAGAGCAGCACCCUCAGGCCCCGAGCAACACCGCGCCAUGGCCCCCGCCGUCAAGCCGCAGCUCCUGCCCACAGAGCCCCUUGUCCCCGUGCCCCUAUUUCGCUCGGACCCCGCGACCAUGAGGAGACUGUGCAAGCGGCGCUGCUGCACCUCGUCACCAUCAGCUGCCCGCCGGAGUCCCCUGUCCGCCGUCUCUCUUUGCUUCCUUCCCCUGGACCUUCUUUGAACCUCUCUCUCUUUUCUUCAGUCAACAGUAGCAGUCGCUGCAUUCUCUCGCCGGUGAGCCCAGGGGAUGAGCCGCGCGCCCCUGCCUCCUUCCCCACGCCCGGAUCCGCCGACGUGUCGUCCCGGAGCCCUGCGUCCAAGUCCCGCGCCCCCACAACCUCGCUGCAGCUUGGCGCCGCCGCAAGUCCACGUCGUCGACGACCUCUGCUUCCCCUACAACAAAACGAGCACCUACCUGUGUUGACCGACCAGCCUCGGCUCGUCCAUGGUCGCGCUACACCAUGGCCUUGUAGCUCCCUUCCAUCGCGGCCGGCCCCGUUCGCCUCCACGUCGUCCCCGUCACCAUGUCCGACCGCGGGAGUCGCCACUGCAUCCCCUGCUUCACGACGAGGCACGCCCCUCGUUGACUUGAUCCAGCGCCCGAGUGGGCCAGCCUGCCAGCGCCCAAGGCCCAGAUGCGCCCCUGCCGGCCUGCCACUAUUACACCAACCAGGCCUCGGCCCAGGGUGAGCAGCCCCCCACCACCCUCUGUUAUUUUUUCCCGCCGAUUGGGCCAACCUGUUUCAGCCCAUUGUAGUUUUUUUAUGCGCUGUGAAUUUUGCCAUUUAACCAGAGACUGCCUGUUUUAUAGAAAACCCCUCAUAGUUCAUGCAUAUAAUAACUUAAUAACCAAUCAUCACAUGUAAAACUUAAUAUAUGAAACUUGCUUAGAAUUUUGUCUAGUUUCAUAAUUUGCCAUUUUCAUCUAUGUUUAAAAUGUUUAAAAUGCGGUUUGAUUAGAUUUGCCUCUAUGCCAUGUUAAAAUGCUUUAAUUCAUAACUAAAUAACCGUAGCUCGGAUUUAAAUAAUCUUUAUAUGUAAAUGGGGUAGAAAAUGCCUAGUUUAACAUGGUGGCAUCACUUUGCAUGUUUAACAACUAUAAAAUAUGGUUUAGGGCAGAACAGUACCAAACCUAAUAUAUGCAUAUGAGGAUUUUCUGGAAUUGUUGUUCGUUGUCUCCAGCCAUAUUUAAACUUGCCUAGAUAGGUAGUUUUCAUUUGCUUCACCCUCUUGACAUGUUUAACAACAUUUAAUAUUGUUGGGUACAUAACAAGAUCAAACUAAAUAAGUCAUGUGGGGUUUCGUCAAUAUUCAACGGAGUUGCAUGUUGAGCUCCACUUAAUUUGUAGGAUUGUUUGUGCAGUUUGCCAUGCCAUGCCUCAUUAAACCGGACAUGCAUCGUAGUUGUUUGCCCAUCGUGCCAUGCUUAUGUGAUGGUUGUUUACUAUGUUGUUUGCUCCUUUCCGGUGUUGCUUCUUUGGGUUGGUUCCGGUAACGUUGCGUUUGUGAGGAUCCGUUGACUACGUCCAUUUGUCUUCUUCGUGGACUCGUUCUUCUUCCUUGCAGGAUUUCAGGCAAGAUGACCAUACCCUCGAAAUCACUUCUAUCUUUGCUUGCUAGAUGCUCGCUCUUUUGCUAUGCCUAUGCUACGAUACCUACCACUUGCUUAUCAUGCCUCCCAUAUUGCCAUGUCAAACCUCUAACCCACCUUGUCCUAGCAAACUGUUGUUUGGCCAUGUUACCGCUUUGCUCAACCCUUCUUAUAGCUUUGAUAGUUGCAGGUGAAGAUUGGAGUUUGUUCCAUGUUGGAACAUGGACAUUUUGUUGGGAUAUCACAAUAUCGCUUAUUUAAUUAAUGCAUCUAUAUACUUGGUAAAGGGUGGAAGGCUCGGCCUUAUGCCUGGUGUUUUGUUCCACUCUUGCCGCCCUAGUUUCCAUCAUAUCGGUGUUAUGUUCCCGGAUUUUGCGUUCCUUAUGUGGUUGGGUUAUAAUGGGAACCCCUUGAUAGUUCACUUUUAAUAAAACUCCUCCAGCAAGGCCCAACCUUGGUUUUACCAUUCGCCACCUAGCCUCUUUUUCCCUUGGGUUAGGCCAGCCCAAGGGUCAUCUUUAUUUUAACCCCCCCGGGCCAGUGCUUGUCUAAGUGUUGGUCCGAAAUGGGCAGCCUGCGGGGCCACCUCGGGGAAACUUGAGGGCUGGUUUUACUCGUAGCUUGACCUAUCCGGUGUUGCCCUGAGAAUGAGAUAUGUGCAGCUCCCAUCAGGAUGUCGGUGCAUCAGGCGGCUUUGCUGGAUUUGUUUUACCAUUGUCGAGGAUGUCUUGUAACCGGGAUUCCGAGUCUGAUCGGGUCUUCCCGCUAGAAGGAAUAUCCUUCGUUGACCGUGAGAGCUUGUGAUGGGCUAAGUUGGGACACCCCUGCAGGGAUUUGAACUUUCGAAAGUCGUGCCCGCGGUUAUGGGCAGAUGGGAAUUUGUUAAUGUCCGGUUGUAGAAAACCUGAAGUUGAUCUCAAUUAAAACACAUCAACCGCGUGUGUAACCGUGAUGGUCUCUUUCCGGCGGAGUCCGGGAAGUGAACACGGUGUUGGAGUUAUGCUUGACGUAGGUUGUUCUAGGAUCACCUCUUGAUCAUAGUUUCUCGAUCGUGCUUUGCCUUCUCUUCUCGCUCUCUUUUGCGUAUGUUAGCCACCAUAUAUGCUAGUCGCUUGCUACAGCUCCACCUCAUACCUUUUACCCUUCCUAUAAGCUUGAAUAGUCUUGAUCGCGAGGGUGUGAGAUUGCUGAGUCCCCGUGACUCACAGUUACUUCCAAAACCAGUUUGUAGGUGCCGAUGUUACCAAGCAGAUGAUGCAACGGAGCUCAAGGAGGAGCUCGAUGAAGAUCUUGUCCUUGGUGUUGUUUCGUUCUAGUUGAUCAGUAGUGGAGCCCAGUUGGGGUCGAUCGGGGAUCUGUGUAGCUUUUGGGGUAGUCUUCUUUUAUUUUGGCUCCAUAGUCGGGCCUUGAUUGUAUUUGGUUGAUAUAAUGUUUUAUUCAUGUAAUUGUGUGAAGCGGCGGUUGUAAGCCAACUAUGUAUCUCUUUCCCUUUAUGUAUUACAUGGGUUGUUUGCGAAGAUUACCUCACUUGCGAUGUUGCUUUCAAUGCGGUUAUGCCUCUAAGUCGUGCUUCGACAUGUGAGAGAUAUAGCCGCAUCGAGGGCGUUACAAGUUGGUAAUCAGAGCCUUCCCUGACCUUAGGAGCCCCCUGCUUGAUUGAAUCACUGACGUUAUUGAGUCUAGAAAUGUUUUGAGUCAUUUAGGAUUAUAUAUAUCGGAGAGUUAGGAAUUUGUUUUUACUCCUCAGUCCCUUCAUCGCUCUGGUGAGGCAUCCUGACGCAGAGUUUUGACUCUUCUCUUCUCAAAUUUCAUUAAAAAAAUUUAGGAUCAUGCGGG